CCUACGGGUGGCUGCCGUGAGGAAUCUUGCGCAAUGGGGGAAACCCUGACGCAGCAACGCCGCGUGAGUGAAGAAGGCCUUCGGGUCGUAAAGCUCUGUCGGGUGGGAAGAAACAUAUAUAGGCGAAUAACCUGUAUAUUUGACGGUACCGCCAAAGGAAGCACCGGCUAACUCCGUGCCAGCAGCCGCGGUAAUACGGGGGGUGCAAGCGUUGUUCGGAAUGAUUGGGCGUAAAGAGCGUGUAGGCGGCGUGAUAAGUCAGAUGUGAAAUCCCUGGGCUCAACCCAGGAAGUGCAUUUGAAACUGUCGUGCUUGAGUACGGGUGAGGGAAGAGGAAUGCCUGGCGUAGAGGUGAAAUUCGUAGAUAUCAGGAGGAACACCGGUGGCGAAGGCGACUUCCUGGCCCGAUACUGACGCUGAGACGCGAGAGCGUGGGGAGCAAACA
rnacentral:rRNA from 1 species